rnacentral:rRNA from 1 species
AUUCCAGCUCUAAUAGCGUAUAUUAAAGUUGUUGCAGUUAAAAAGCUCGUAGUCGGAUGUCGGGCUCGGGCAAGCUGUCGGCCUUUGGUCGGACGGCAGGCUCGGGUCUUUCUGCCUGAGGAACCCGGUUGCUUUAACGAGCUGCCGGUGGACGCAGGUCGUUUACUUUGAAAAAAUUAGAGUGUUCAAAGCAGGCUAGCGCUUGAAUACAUUAGCAUGGAAUAAUGGAAUAGGACUUUGGUGCUAUUUUGUUGGUUUAUGGGACCGAAGUAAUGAUUAACUGGGACAGUCAGGGGCACUCGUAUUCCGCCGAGAGAGGUGAAAUUCUCAGACCAGCGGAAGACGAACCACUGCGAAAGCAUUUGCCAGGGAUGUUUUCAUCG